UAAUGGGUCAGCGACUUAUAUUCUGUAGCAAGGUUAACCGAAUAGGGGAGCCGAAGGGAAACCGAGUCUUAACUGGGCGUUAAGUUGCAGGGUAUAGACCCGAAACCCGGUGAUCUAGCCAUGGGCAGGUUGAAGGUUGGGUAACACUAACUGGAGGACCGAACCGACUAAUGUUGAAAAAUUAGCGGAUGACUUGUGGCUGGGGGUGAAAGGCCAAUCAAACCGGGAGAUAGCUGGUUCUCCCCGAAAGCUAUUUAGGUAGCGCCUCGUGAAUUCAUCUCCGGGGGUAGAGCACUGUUUCGGCAAGGGGGUCAUCCCGACUUACCAACCCGAUGCAAACUGCGAAUACCGGAGAAUGUUAUCACGGGAGACACACGGCGGGUGCUAACGUCCGUCGUGAAGAGGGAAACAACCCAGACCGCCAGCUAAGGUCCCAAAGUCAUGGUUAAGUGGGAAACGAUGUGGGAAGGCCCAGACAGCCAGGAUGUUGGCUUAGAAGCAGCCAUCAUUUAAAGAAAGCGUAAUAGCUCACUGGUCGAGUCGGCCUGCGCGGAAGAUGUAACGGGGCUAAACCAUGCACCGAAGCUGCGGCAGCGACACUAUGUGUUGUUGGGUAGGGGAGCGUUCUGUAAGCCUGUGAAGGUGGCCUGUGAGGGUUGCUGGAGGUAUCAGAAGUGCGAAUGCUGACAUAAGUAACGAUAAAGCGGGUGAAAAGCCCGCUCGCCGGAAGACCAAGG
rnacentral:rRNA from 1 species